rnacentral:rRNA from 1 species
UACGAUUGAGUCAAAAGAUUAUUAUUGGUUGGUAGUAAUUACUUUAUUUUUUAUUAUCUUUUAAAAUUUUAGGUUAAAUUUAUAUUUUAUUUUAUAAUAUCUAUUUAAAAUUCUAUGAAAUUUAGAUUAUAAACAA